rnacentral:rRNA from 1 species
AUUGAACGCUGGCGGCAGGCCUAACACAUGCACGUCGAGCGAGCGGCGGACGGGUGAGUAAUGUCUGGGGAUCUGCCCGAUAGAGGGGGCUAACUACUGGCAACGGUGGCUAAUACCGCAUACUAUCGGAUGAACCCAUAUGGGAUUAGCUAGUAGGUGGGGUAAAGGCUCACCUAGGCGACGAUCUCUAGCUGGUCUGCGAGGAUGAUCAGCCACGCUUGAAGUUAGACACGGCCCAGACGCCUACGGGAGGCAGAAGUGGGGAAGAUUGCACAAUGGGCGCAAGCCUGAUGCAGCCAUGCCGCGUGGAUGAAGAAGGCCUUGGGGUUGUAAAGUACUUUCAGCGGGGAGGCGUUACCCGCAGAAGAAGCACCGGCUAACUCCGUGGCAGCAGCAGCGGUAAUAC